rnacentral:rRNA from 1 species
GAUGAACGCUGGCGGCGCGCCUAAUACAUGCAAGUCGAACGGAGUGUGUUCUCGUAACGCACUCAGUGGCGAACGGGUGAGUAACGCGUAGGUGACCUACCCCGAAGAGGGGGAUAACAGCCCGAAAGGGCUGCUAAUACCCCAUGUGGUUCUGUGGGUUAGAGGCCGCAGAACUAAAGGCGUAAGCCGCUUCGGGAUGGGCCUGCGUCCCAUCAGCUAGUUGGUAGGGUAACGGCCUACCAAGGCGAUGACGGGUAGGGGGCCUGAGAGGGUGGCCCCCCACACUGGCACUGAAACACGGGCCAGACACCUACGGGUGGCAGCAGUAGGGAAUAUUGGGCAAUGGGCGAAAGCCUGACCCAGCGACGCCGCGUGCGCGAUGAAGGCCUUCGGGUUGUAAAGCGCUUUUGGAGGGAAUGAGGAAGGACAGUACCCUCCGAAUAAGCCUCGGCUAACUACGUG